rnacentral:rRNA from 1 species
UACAUGGGGUGCAAACGUUGCUCGGAAUUAUUGGGCGUAAAGCGCACGUAGGCGGACUCGUCAGUCAAAGGUGAAAGCCCUGGGCUCAACCUCUGGAGGCCAAUGGAUACUGCCGGGCUAGAGUCCGGAAGAGGCGAGUGGAAUUCCUGGUGUAGCGGUGGAAUGCGCAGAUAUCAGGAGGAACACCAAUGGCGAAGGCAGCUCGCUGGGACGGUACUGACGCUGAGGUGCGAAAGCGUGGGGAGCGAACAGG